UUAUCUGUGCCACUGGUCUCUGUUUAAAUAGACUUGUUUGAGCAGAUCUGUCCACAUCCUGAAGGACAAGAGUCCAAUGACCAAACAGUUCAGCUGGUCAUCUGCUCAGUAGCCUGUUUGACCUUGGCCAUCAGUUCCUAGAGGCAG